UGCUUAAGGAGUAAAAUGUGAGUAAAAUA
rnacentral:piRNA from 1 species